rnacentral:rRNA from 1 species
UACGGAGGAUGCAAGCGUUAUCCGGAUUUAUUGGGCGUAAAGCGUCCGUAGGUGGUUGUUCAAGUCUAUUGUCAAAGCCUGGGGCUUAACCCUGGAGAGGCGGUGGAAACUGGAUAACUAGAGUGCGGUAGGGGCAGAGGGAAUUCCCAGUGUAGCGGUGAAAUGCGCAGAUAUCAGGAGGAACACCGGUGGCGAAGGCGGAUCUCUGGGCCUGUUCUGACGCUGAGGCGCGAAAGCUAGGGGAGCGAACAGG